ACUUGCUUGCUUUUUAAUAACAGAGCAGAGAGAACACAAGGCCAGGGGCGGGGCCUGGAGGAAAACAGGACUUAUGGUGCUCCUGUGAGAGCGACGCUGCCAACUGCAUCCCCCAGGGAUUGUGAAGGGGGUUCCUCCUGGCUGUGACAGUGCUGAAGGAGGCCAGAGUGUGCAGCUGCCUGGAGGCACAAGCCGCCUCCUGACCCAGGGGACUCCAGGGAGACCAAAGCAGCUGUAAAGAUGAGAGAAAUUGAAAAAGAGAAUGGAAAAUUCUCCAACCUGGCUCUCAGCUUCUACUGCAUCUCCACGCAAGACCAGAAACCCACGUCACUCCCUCUCACUCCACCCAGUUCCACUCCAACAAUACCUGGGCCCUGCCAGGAGUGAGAAAACUGUUCUCUUCCUGUGGAUAGGUUGCCCUCUCCUCUUCCAGAUCAGGGUAUUCAUUGGUGCUGGGAAAUCCACAGCCGUCUUCGUCAAGCACCACUGGCUCAGAUGCAGCCCCAGAGCUGCCCCACUGGGCCUUCUUCAGUCUGUGGAGACUUUAGGCUGAGGAGAGAAGUACCUGGAGGCCAGGCUUCCUGUCUCUCCAUUCUUCACCUUUCUGUUCUGAAAUACUUCCUGCUGGGACUCCAGGGAGUUGUCAUUUGACCUCUAACUCUCCACUCCCAAUUUUCUGCUACCCUCAGACUGAAGCAUAUUGUCUAGGAACCCAGAGGCGACCCCAGCCUCCCCACUGUCCUCCAGUUCUAUGGUUUGCUUUCCUGUCUUCAGUGAUCCAGUUUCUACUCCUUCCAGCUCAAGCGGCUCAUCCUCCUUACCGCAAUUCCCUCCUCCUUUUCAUAUUACAGAAAUCUAUUUCAAUCACACCAAAGCCCACAGCUUCCU